UUGCCAUGUCGGACAGGCCCCCAGACCCAACACUCACGGUUCAACGUGGAACAGAACAAGGAAUGUCUCAUACAGAUCAGCAGAUACAAGUUUUCCCUAGUCAUCUCCGGCCUUUACAAGAUCUUACAGAAAGUCAAUGAGAUGCGACCCCAUGGCCCAGACUUCGAGAAGAACUACUAUGAGUCACUACUGAUUGUUUUAGACACCCUGGAGAAGUGCCUGUCUUCCCAGCCAAAAGAUACAACUAGAGAUGAAGCAAUGAAUGUGAAACUCCUCUUAAGGGAAACUUGUCAGUUUAUUGAUCUACCAAAUAAUGAUCCUAUGGUAGUUCAGCUAAAGAAUUUGGCAUCUAAAGUGCUGUUUGCUCUCAGCCUCAACAACUUCAAUGCUGUUUUCAAUCGAAUAUCUGUGAGAUUACAAGAACUAAGUACAAGUAGCACAGAAGAAAAUCCGGAUUAUAGUGAUAUUGAGUUAAUACAGCACAUUAAUGUUGAUGUAAACAGACUCAUCAAGCUUCUAAAUGAAACCAUUCAGAAAUUUCGAAGUUUACGGAAGAAUGCUCAAAUAGUGCUUAUGAACUCAUUGGAAAAAGCAAUAUGGAAUUGGAUGGACACAUACCCAAAUGAGUUUGCUGAUCUGCAGAAACGACGGAAUGAAGAUUUAGCGAAGUGUUGUGAGAUUAUGUUUGAACAUCUGGACAGCUUUACAGAAAACAAUAAAAGAAGAGCUGCUGUUUGGCCCUUGCAAAUUAUGUUGUUAGUUCUCUCACCUAAAGUUUUAGAAGAAAUCGUGAAUGCAGAUGCUGGUGCUCCAUGUUCGCAGAGGCAUUUCAAAAAGAAGCAGUUCAUUGACCAGUUGAAAAAGGCUUUGGUGCCUCACAACAUUAGUAGACAUCUAACUGAAGCAGCAGCUGUCACCUGUGUAAAGCUGUGCAAGAUUGCAACUUAUAUUAAUAUCAACGAUUCAAACAAUGUUGUUUUUGUAUUAGUGCAAAGUGUGAUUAGUGAACUUAAGAAUUUGCUCUUCAACAUUGUGAAACCAUUUUCCCGUGGCCAAGCAUACAUUUGCCAAGAUGUAGAUUUAAUGAUCGACUGUUUUGUGUCCCUGUUCCGCAUCCUCCCACACAACAACGAGGCUCUCAAAGUCUGCCUUAAUCCAAAUUCCCAGUCAACUUACCAUUUUGUGUUGGUCAGCUCUCUAUACAGAAUAAUCACACAACCAAGACUGCCUUGGUGGCCACAAAUUGACAUUGUAUAUAACAAGUCGAGUGAGCUGAGGUCAAUGUUCACUGAUACUCUGAACAAGGUCACACAAGGUUGCAUCUCUCAUACUCCUCUAAGGAUGAUUCAUGGUCUAACACUGAAAGAGAAAGUGAUACCUCUGAAGUUCAAGGAAAAGUCCUCAGAUGAAGCUCCAUCUUACAAGAAUCUGCUGCUGUGGAUGGUUCGCCUGAUUCACGCAGAUCCUAUGCUUAUGCUGAAUAAUCAAGGCAAAGCUGGUCAUGAGAUCCAGAGUUCUACGCUUGAGCUCAUCAAUGGCUUGGUGUCAUUGGUUCAUAAUCCCUCAAUGCCUGAUGUUGCUGCUGAAGCCAUGGAGGCAUUGCUUGUGCUUCAUCAGCCGGAGAAGAUUGAGAUGUGGAAUCCCGAAGCUCCCAUCAAUACAUUUUGGGAUGUCAGUUCACAGGUGCUGUUCUCCAUAUCCCAGAAGCUUAUACAGCAUCAGAUUGUCAACUACACAGAGAUUCUCAAAUGGUUGCGGGAUAUCUUGGUUUGUCGUAAUGCCUUCCUUCUUCGCCACAAGGAUUACGCCAAUUGCAAUAUUGGUGCUCAUAUAGCUAUUUGCAAACAAGCCCAUAUCAAACUAGAGGUUGUGUUCCUAAUGUACCUGUGGAGCAUAGACAUGGAUGCUGUGCUAGUUGCUAUGUCAUGCUUUAGUUUGCUGUGCGAAGAAGCAGAUAUUAGGUGUGUGUGGGAUGAAGUCACAGCAACAGUUACCUACCUGUUACCAAACUAUCAUGUCUACCAGGAGUUAGCUUCUGCCUCUACCGUCCUCACAACAGGCAGGGCUGCUCUCCAAAAACGAAUCAUGGGUUUACUUCGGAAGAUUGAGAAGUGGACGCCUGGUUGCCUGCAGGCUUGGGAGGACACUUUUAUUAAUUGGGAAAACUCCACAAAGAUGUUGGUUUCUUAUCCAAAAGCAAAGCUAGAGGAGGGCCAAAUAUCAGACAGCUUCCACCGCACUGUGUAUAGGAGGAGAGCUUCACACCAGAGUACAGAACAUGAGCUUGAGAUACAGGACCAAGUAAAUGAAUGGGCUAAUAUGACUGGAUUCCUCUGUGCUUUGGGUGGAGUGUGUUUGCUAGGGAAGUCCCCUUCGCGGCAGCAAGGUGUAAGCUCAAACCUCACUAGUGAUGUAAGAAAACCAGCAGUUUUACCCAAUACCAACCAGGAUAUGCUCUACUGUCCAGUCACACAGUUUGUAGGGCACCUCCUCAAGCUCUUAGUCUGUAACAAUGAGAAGUUUGGAACCCAGAUUCAGAAGCAUGUGAAGGAGUUGGUUGGCCAUGAGAUGUCACCAUUGUUGUAUCCAAUUCUUUUUGACCAAAUUAAAGUCAUUGUGGAUAAGUUCUUUGACCAACAAGGCCAGGUUAUUGUAAGUGAACUAAACACUCAGUUCAUUGAACACAUAAUAUUCAUUAUGAAGAAUGUUUUGGAAAACAAGACCGAUCAUCCAUCUGAGCAUCUUGGUGUCACAUCAAUCGAACCGAUGAUGUUAGCUAUUGUGAGAUAUGUACGUCAUCUAGACACCACAGUGCAUACGUUGCACAUCAAGACUAAACUGUGUCAGUUAGUGGAGGUGAUGAUGCAAAGGAGAGACGACCUGGCCUUCAGACAAGAGAUGAAGUUCCGCAACAAGAUGGUAGAUUAUCUGACCGAUUGGGUCAUGGGAAAUUCUCACCAAAUUGCUCCCCCAGGAACUAUAGAUGUUGCCACUGUUUCAAAUAUGUACAUGCAAUAUGAUAUCACGGGAUGUUGUCGAGACCUUGAUCAAGCAUGCAUGGAGGCAGUAGCUGCCCUUUUGCGAGGGCUGCCACUCCAGCCAGAGGAAAGUGACCGUGGGGAUCUGAUGGAGGCAAAAUCUCAGCUCUUUCUUAAAUAUUUUACCCUUUUCAUGAACCUCUUGAAUGAUUGUAUGGAAGCUCAGGAAGUUGAGAAGGAUGUUGCACGACAGCGGGUGCAACCUGGUAAACUUUCAACACUGCGUAAUGCAACUAUCCAAGCCAUGUCAAAUCUGUUGUCAGCUAAUAUUGACUCUGGCCUGAUGCAUUCCAUUGGACUAGGGUAUCACAAAGAUUUACAAACUCGAGCAGCUUUUAUUGAGGUGUUAACAAAGAUUCUCCAGCAAGGCACAGAAUUUGACACCCUAGCAGAGACUGUGCUUGCGGAUCGGUAUGAGCAGCUGGUGCAGUUGGUGACAAUGAUUGGGGACAAAGGAGAACUACCAAUAGCUAUGGCUCUGGCAUCUGUUGUUGUUACGCCACAAAUGGAUGAGCUAGCACGUGUGUUUGUGACAUUAUUUGAUGCCAAGCACUUGCUUUCCCCAUUACUCUGGAAUAUGUUUUACAAGGAGGUUGAAGUAUCUGACUGUAUGCAGACUCUCUUUAGAGGCAACUCACUUGGAAGCAAGAUAAUGGCAUUUUGCUUCAAGAUCUAUGGAGCAUCUUAUCUGCACAAUCUCCUAGAACCCUUAAUACGGCCGUUAAUGGACGACGUUACCCAUUCCUAUGAAGUUGAUACUGGAAGAUUAGAUCCAUCAGAGAAUGUAGAAGAAAAUAGGAGAAACCUUAUAGCACUUACACAGAAAGUCUUUGGUGCUAUCAUUUGCUCUUCAGACAACUUUCCACCUCAGCUACGAAGCAUGUGUCACUGCCUAUACCAAGUCUUAAGCAAAAGAUUUCCUCAGUUCCCACAAAAUAAUAUUGGUGCUGUGGGUACUGUAAUAUUCCUCCGAUUUAUAAAUCCUGCUAUUGUUUCCCCCUGUGAGACUGGCAUCCUGGACAGUCAGCCGUGUGGACAAGUGAAACGAGGGCUGAUGCUGAUGUCCAAGAUCCUGCAGAACAUUGCCAAUCAUGUAGAAUUCAGCAAAGAGCAGCACAUGCUCCCCUUCAACGACUUUCUGAGGCAGCACUUCGAAGGGGCGAGAAGGUUCUUCAUCCAGAUUGCUAGCGAUUGCGAGAGUGUGGAACAGACCAGCCAUAGCAUUUCAUUCAUCAGUGAUGCUAAUGUGCAUGCUCUUCAUAGAUUACUGUGGAAUCAUCAGGAAAAGAUAGGGGAAUAUCUGUCAAGCAGUCGGGACCAUAAAGCAGUUGGCAGAAGACCAUUUGACAAAAUGGCUACGUUGCUAGCAUACUUGGGACCACCUGAGCACAAACCCAUUGAUUCUCAAUGGAGUAGCAUGGACAUGACAAGCACAAAGUUUGAAGAGAUUAUGUCCAAGCACAACAUGCAUGAGAAAGACGAGUUCAAGUCCAUUAAGACGCUAAACAUUUUUUAUCAAGCGGGAACAUCUAAAGCUGGCAAUCCUGUGUUUUACUACAUUGCCAGAAGAUACAAAAUUGGGGAGACGAAUGGCGAUCUUCUCAUAUACCAUGUGAUACUCACUCUCAAACCCAUUUGCCGAAAGCCUUUUGAACUCGUUGUGGAUUUCACUCACACUUGCGCAGAUAAUAGAUUCAGAACGGAAUUCCUGCAAAAGUGGUUUGUAGUGUUACCCGAGGUUGCAUAUGAGAAUAUCCAUGCUGCCUAUAUCUACAACGCCAAUUCCUGGGUGAGAGAGUACACAAAAUAUCAUGACAGAAUCUUGGCACCCUUAAAGGGUCACAAGAAACUGAUUUUCUUGGAUGCACCAGCACGGCUAAAUGACUACAUUGAGCCUGACCAACAGAAGCUACCAGGGGCAACUACUUCCUUAGAUGAGGAUCUUAAAGUCUUCAAUAAUGCACUCAAAUUGUCUCAUAAAGACACAAAAGUUGCUAUCAAAGUGGGUCCUUCAGCAAUCCAGGUAACCUCAGCAGAGAAGACCAAAGUGUUGUCCCAUUCUGUACUUCUCAAUGAUGUUUACUACGCUUCAGAGAUUGAAGAGGUUUGUCUUGUGGAUGACAACCAGUUCACCUUGACCAUUGCAAAUGAAUCUGGACCCCUGUCAUUCAUUCAUAAUGACUGUGACAGUAUUGUCCAAGCUAUUAUUCAUAUCAGAGCAAGAUGGGAACUUUCUCAGCCAGACUCAGUAACAGUGCACCAGAAGAUUCGGCCAAAGGAUGUUCCAGGCACCUUGCUCAAUAUGGCGCUACUAAACCUGGGUUCCUUAGACCCCAACCUGAGAACAGCAGCUUACAAUCUCCUUUGUGCUCUCACUGCCACCUUUGACUUGAAAAUUGAAGGACAGCUAUUAGAAACUUCAGGGUUGUGCAUUCCAUCCAAUAACACCAUCUUCAUCAAGAGUGUCAGUGAGAAGUUGGCAGCUAAUGAGCCUCACCUGACGCUAGAGUUCCUGGAGGAGUGCAUACAGGGCUUCAGGGCUUCCAGCAUCGAACUCAAGCAUUUGUGUCUUGAGUACAUGACGCCAUGGCUGCCCAACCUUACAAGGUUUUGCAAUCAUCCUGAUGACAAGAAGCGUGCUAAGGUUGCCAUGAUUCUAGAUAAGCUCAUAACUCUGACCAUUGAAGAAGUUGAGAUGUACCCAUCCAUACAGGCCAAGAUAUGGGGUAACAUAGGACAAGUGUCAGAGCUGAUAGAUAUGGUGCUCGAUUCCUUCAUUAAGCGGUCGGUGACUGGAGGACUAGGAUCGGGGCAAGCUGAGAUUAUGGCUGACACAGCUGUUGCUUUAGCCUCAGCUAAUGUUGCUUUAGUGGCAAGAAAAGUCAUAGGACGGCUUUGUCGGGUGAUAGACAAGACAUGCACUUCCCCCACAUCUACGCUGGAGCAGCAUUUGAUGUGGGACGACAUAGCCAUCCUGGCACGCUAUUUGCUCAUGCUCUCAUUUAAUAACUGCCUGGAUGUAGCACGCCACUUACCGUACCUGUUUCACAUCAUAACUUUCCUGGUGUGCACUGGGCCACUCAGCAUGAGGGCCUCAACACAUGGCCUAGUUAUCAACAUAAUUCACUCACUGUGUACCUGUACUAAACCCUCAUUUUCUGAAGAAACCCAGAGAGUUCUUCGACUAUCAUUGGACGAAUUCUCCCUGCCCAAGUUUUACCUUCUGUUUGGAAUCAGUAAAGUGAAAUCUGCUGCAGUCACUGCAUUCAGAUCUUCAUACAGACACACAGGAGAGAGGGGACUAAGAUUAGUACCAGAUCGUAGUCUUUCCUGUGGAAUGGGUGACCGAGAAAGACUAUCUCUCCAGUCAUUAGAAACAAUCACUGAUGCACUGCUUGAAAUAAUGGAAGCAUGCAUGCGAGAUAUCCCAGACUGUGAUUGGUUGCAAGCGUGGACUGGCCUUGCUAAGAAUUUUGCAUUCCAGUAUAAUCCAGCUCUCCAGCCAAGGGCCCUUAUUGUAUUUGGAUGUAUUAGUAAGAGUGUGGUUGACCAGGACAUCAAACAGUUACUGCGCAUCUUGGUAAAGGCAUUAGAGAGCUUCUCUGAUAUAACCCUUAUCGAUUCAAUCAUAAUGUGCCUCACGCGUCUUCAACCACUGCUAAGACAGGAGUCUGCCAUUCAUCAAGCCUUGUUUUGGGUGGCUGUAUCUGUAUUGCAGUUAGAUGAAGUGUCACUGUAUGCUUCGGGUUUAGCUUUGCUGGAACAGAACUUACACACGCUGGAUUCUCAGGGAAUCUUUGAUAACAAUACAUUGGAACAUGUUAUGAUGUCAACAAGGGAAUCCCUAGAGUGGUUCUUCAAACAGCUUGAUCACUCUGUCGGACUAAGCUUUAAAGCAAACUUCCACUUUGCAUUAGUGGGGCAUUUGUUAAAAGGUCUGCGUCACCCAGCACCAACCACUGUCUCAAGAACAUCCCGUGUGCUCAUUACUCUCCUCUCAAUUGUAGCUAAACCACACAAAAGAGAUAAAUUCGAGGUGACACCAGAAAAUGUGGCAUACCUGGCAGCUUUGGUUUCAGUAUCUGAGGAAGUCAGAUCUCGAUGUCAUUUAAAAUAUUCAGUUGCGCGCAGCUUAUCCAAAUCAGCGUCGACGGACACAUUUGCUGUUGAUCCCCACCUCAACUUGCCCCUGACAUCAAGCCAAGUUAGCGGUAUCAGCAAUCCACAAGGGGUAUCUCACCAGCACUCAGGAGGUGCCUCGUCUCCCAGUAAUCACAUAUCAUCUCCUGGAUUAUCAUUCCCAACCAUCGGCAGCUUCAGUAGCUUAGCCAGCUCUUCAGCAACAAGUACAACCACAUUAAUGUCAGUUGGGAGUGCCAUAACCCCUGGGGCAGGUAGCAGUGGCAACAGUGGUGGCAGCAAUGGUAUGGGAAGUGCAGCUAAUGCGGCUGCUGCUUCAGUCACAGGAAGUAGCACCAGUGGUAUUGUGAGUGGCGGGGGAACUCCUCAGUCUGUUGGAACGCCAGCAGAAAUGAGACCACCUCCUACCAUCACAAAGGACCCACCCCCACCGUCCAACUCCACAACGCCUGCCAACCGGAGGCAGAAACCCUGGGACGCUAUGGAUCAGAUUCCCUUGUCGCAGGGUGCGAUGGGUAUGCUAGGACCGCUGGGCAUGAUGCAGAAGCAGGGGAGUGCCCAGCACCUGGUGAGCAGAGCCGAUCCCAAGACGUGGCACUCCCUUGACCUUGAUCCCCAUAACAUGAGACCACCACCUUUUAAAACCCAAAGGUCGUCCUCGAUGCCCACACCAAAGGGUGACAUGUCCCCUCCGGACAAGGACCGCAGCACCAGGGUCUCCGUCAGCAACGAAAAUAAUAUCCUCUUGGACCCGGAGGUGUUGACAGAGUUCUCGACCCAAGCCCUCGUCCUCACUGUCUUGGCCACACUAGUGAAGUACACCACGGACGAGAAUGAGAUGAGAGUGCUGUACGAAUACCUGGCUGAGGCUUCAGUCGUCUUCCCCAAGGUCUUCCCUGUCAUCCACUCCCUUCUGGAUGCCAAGAUCACCUCGGUGCUGUCCUUGUGUCAUGAUGGUGUGAUCCUGAGUGCUGUUCAGUCUAUAAUUCAGAAUAUGGUAGCUUGUGAGGACCAAGGACACCAACAACUGCAUGCUCUUCAAAGCUGGGGAUUCGGAGGGCUGUGGAGAUUUGCUGGCCCAUUCACUAAGAGUAAUUGCACAGCAGAGAAUGCAGAAUUGUUUGUCAACUGCUUAGAAGCCAUGGUGGAGACUGCAUUACCAACAGAAGGAGAUGAGGGCUCGGAAAUGGAGUUGGCUCAGUAUCCAUCCAUGCUCUCCGUGGCAUCAGUUAACCUUUCCUCCUCAAUGUCCUCCCUAACUCUAGCUUCACCUACAGAAAAGGUUGUAUCACCUCUCUACAAGAAUUUGGAGUCAUCGACAACAGCACAGCAAAGACCGUAGAUGCAGGCUUGAGGCUCUGAGUUUAGCUGUGAACCAGUGAUACUACAGCUAGAUUGACGGGACGGAAGGUGCAGGUGCAUCGCAGAAUCUUCCAUCGCAUCCUCCUGGUUCUCGUCCCAAGCCAGUUCUACCCAAC
rnacentral:misc_RNA from 1 species